UUAAACAAAACUACUUAUGGUGAAGUUUUCCCUGCAAGGCUGGAUAAUCACAAAUCACUAAGCUGUUGUCACACAGGACUUUCUUAUUUGUGUAUUAUCAAGUUUCCAUUUUAUUUUAUUGUAGUUUAGGUUAGCAUCUCAUUUGCAAAUGUAAGAAGACCUUUUUCUUUAAUCUCCCCAAAGACUUGCAGUGACAGAGGUAGGGACAUCAGUAGACCCAGAAGCCACCACCACAUUCCUCUGCAUGUGAUUUGUCGCUUUCCAGGUGAAUUGCGUAAUUAUGGGGCUGUGCUCUCUGAGACUGACAUCUUGCAAGGACAAGAUGGUAGUGGCUCACCUUGUUCCUGGUGUACACUCUAUUCAUGCUUUAUUUUACACUAAUCAUUUUAGAAAAUAAACAGUGCAAAAUAAGUGUAAUCUUAGCAAAGAAUUUUAUCUAAAGUAACAAUCUGAGGACCUGACAAUGAGCUGACUACAGAGAGUUGUUUUCGACUGCUCCUCUCUGCCGUAUUUUUAGUCUUGUAGUUUCCGUUGUUAUGUUCAGAUGCACCUACUAUGGCUGCUACUAUUAUCAUUCUCUUUUGAUUAUUCUCAUCCUCCCUAGACUUCUUCUCCUUGGUCUCCUUCAAAGGUCUUUUUCCUCUAUAUGGAUUUCCCAGAGCUCAUUCUUUGAUCUUUAUGGGGACACGGUUGGUGCCCCACUCAGGUCACCUUUACCUGCUAGUGCCUCUGCUGCCUCGGCUACUGUUGGUGUUGGCUGCUGAUGGCUCACUACUGGCCCCCUUCUCUGAAGACUUGCCUGAAUGAAGAGCCACCUCUUCCGGAAGUCAUGCUCUGCUCCUUUCCCAGAGCAGCCUGAAGCUAACAAUUCUCUGAUGGGAGAGGAGCUCUAAAACGCUGGCCCCCAUGGCUCCAGGUGAGGUCAUUUCUGUGGUACGUUGCUGAUUCAGACCUCCCUGUGGGAUUGAGCUGAAGGGAAGCUACAUCUGAGACCACAUCCUUGCUUAGCUUUUUUCCCUGCACUAACCCACUUCCCCACUUCCUUUCUCCUGAGAGCUUUCCUUCAGUAAAUAAUUUGAACAAGAGUUUCCAUCUUAGAUUGCUUCUAGGGAAGAGUCAUAUAGUUCUCUCCUUACAGCUCCUCUCUAGGCAAUCUCAUGGUUUCAAGAAAAGCUAAUAUACUGACUUUCAAACUGAUAUUCUGCAGCUCAUGUCUCUUGUGUAAAUUCCAGACUGAGAAGUACAACCGCCUGCUUUUUUAGGUUUUGUUAAAUUUAGGACUGCCUCCUGUCUUUGGGCAAGGUUGUAUUUUGAUUCUUUUUAAUUGCCUUGAAUUAGAAAUUUCAGGAUCAUAAAAAUCUGAGGCCAGCCGAAAGCUUCAUAUGCCCUUUAUUCCUUAUCAAAUGCAAUAGUCUUAGGAAUAUUACAUGUUCCUAUGGGCACAUCAAGACUGUGGGCAGUGGCAUAAAUCACGUAGACUUGGGUUGUGUGUAGUUCCUGAAGUUUUUGUCUUUUUGAGAAAGCCUGUGAAAGUUCAUGAAAAUAAAAGUGAUAUUAUAGGGAACACCUUGAUUGCACUGAAAUUUACAAAAAUCCAAAUCAUGCAAACCUCAAUACCUUGAUCAUUUUUACCAAUAAGUUACUUUCUAUAAGCCUCACAACAUUGCUAUGCUACAACAUAGUGAGGUUAACCUCCCUGACAGAAGACUUUCUUGAGUUCUACAGGCUGAGCUUAAUUCUGGUAAACAUACCUCCCUUGUGCUACUCAUCAGAUUGCAUUUCAAUCGUUUGUUUCCUUGUUUGUAUUGCCUCUAACCCCUGGAGGUUGUGGAUUGUAUUAUUUUUAAUCUUUUCUUGAUAAAUUCCACCGUUUGUGCAACCAGGUAUUGGUGGGUGAAUGUCAGGACAUUGGGUGGCUCCUGCCCCAGCCGUGAGCCAAGACACGAUUCUCCCACAAUCUCACAGCCUUGGCCUGGCUAUAGCCUUCCCACAGCCAUCUUGGCAUGGCAGCCAGAGCUACCGUGUGCCCGUAUUCUCUGAAGGCCUCUUGCUCCCACUGGCACCCAGACUCCCACUGCACACCCACACCACCAGUCGUUCGCCUCCUCUCCCACUUGUGCUAUGGAGGGCGCCUGUUUCUUGCCCAGCACUCCAGACCAGCUCACGCCUGGCUGAACCAGUGAAAUCUCUGCUACCCGGUAGCCAAACCACACCUUCUCCUACAGUCUCAAUGUCUUCCACAUUUGCCUUUCCUUGGGUGUCGUAGAGAGUUUCCUCAUGUCUUAUAGUUACUUUUUUUUUUAUCAUAGCUAACAAUUUUCUGUAUUAACCUUCCCCUUUUUAACCUACUGGAUGGUUUCUAUCUCUGUUUGUGCUCAGACUUCCACAGUAUGUGUGCCAGAGUAUGCAUGCCAUAGCAUGCCUUCCACAGGCUAGCCUAAGUGACACACCUGAAUCUGGACACGUGCAUUAAUUUGUGUAUCAAAAUGAACUGGAGCCUAAAGAAAAGUCAUAAUGGUCUUUCACUAUUUCAUUUUUGGCCGCUGAAUUUUUGUGUUUAUUUUCAACCCAAUUAGUAUUCCAGAUUAAACCCUUGAGGUUUUGUUUUUGUUUUUGUUUAAGACUCCUCAUAAAAUAACAAUUUUGAGUUUUGAGUCUUAGGGACAUGCUUAAAAAUAGAUGGAGAUAUGGGAUUCACGUGUAUAAAACUCAAGAUAUUUUAUUCCUUCUAUUGGGAAAGAUUAUUUGGGGAUAUUUAGAAAAAAUGACUCUAUCAAAAUCAGAUGUGGGCUGAUUGUGAACACAAGUAAGAAUACAGAAAGAUCCAGUCAAAGACAUUGAAGAGCGCCGUUGACCACGCUGUGAAUCUAUCAGAUUUGACUACUUGAGCUUUUGUUGGCUGUAGAGACGAUGCCUUCAACUAGCAGGUUUAGUUCCUCUCACUUCCUAAAUAUAUCACUUAGGAUUCUUUCUGUUGCAUGUGAAAGAAAACCAAUUCUACCUGGCUUAAAAAUAAGGGGAAUUUAUCGGCUCAAGUUGCUUGAAAGUCCAGGGGAUAGUCUCGUUUGAAGUACAGCUCGGUCAGGGGCUCAAACAGCGCGGUCAGGACUUCAUCCCCAUCUUUACUUCUUACUUCUUUUCCUGUUGGCUUCAUUCUUAGUCUCUAGAGGAAAGAAAACCAGAAAGAUGUCACUUAUCAGUUCUCCUAGGUUAAAACAGAGUAGAAGUGAAAGCAACUCUUUCUGGGCGCUCCCACCAAAUCCUGGCCUUUACUCUGACUGGAACUGCUUGGGUUACAUGCGUAACCUUGAACCAAGGACCAGUAGAACGUGGGUUGUACGACCCCUUUUUGAGUUUGGGUCAUCAUUGGAACCAGAGAGAGAGUCAGUAGGAAUGGCUCUCUACAGAAAGUAGAGAAGUCUUCUUCAGGGUGUCUCUCCUGAAGGACAGAUAAAUGCUUGGUAGACAAAAUGACAAAUGUGCACUGGACUAGGCAAACCUUGCACAAGACUGCCUCACUCUUGGUAGCCCACAGCAGCCCAUCUCCUCGGACGUGUUGUGCUGCCCCUAAUCCCAGUAUUCACCAUGACCAGCAGAAGGCACCUACGUGUUCGUGGAGCCACACCUGACUGUGACCCUUGCCAGUAGCUCAUUCUCUCAGAAUUGGCUGGGUUCUUCGAUCAAGGUAUGUACAUCACCUGUCAGACCUGCCAGACUUUGAGUGAAGAUGCCCAGAGUGGGCAGCAGUCUUUCUGUACCUACCCCACAUGCCAAAGUAGCCUGUGUGUUUCUGAGACCAACAUGUCCUUGUUAACUGCUUUUGAUCAUUCCGUGUACUCAUUUACAGGGUCUCAAACUUGCCAAUCUAAGACGGUAAGAGCAGACAGUGAAGGUGGAUGCGUCUCUCCUCAAUUCCAUUUCCCACGGUGAUGGUAAGAGUAACUCAGUGUGUGCCUGCUAAGUAAUAAACACGCUUAUAAACACUUAUGUAUAUCAACUUGUUUUAUCCUCACAAUAAACCUGUGAGAUAGAGACUAUUAUUGCUCUUAUUUAUAAAAUAAGUGAGGGAAUUGAGGCAGAGAGAGAUUAGGUAACUUGCCCAGGGUCACACAAGUGGGAAGAGGUGGGUGAGGCCUUCUCCCUCCGGUAGUUUGACUUUGGGACUUGCUUUCAUAAGCGCCAUACAAUGCUGCCUCUAGUGGACACCGAGAGUCACCCUUGGUCUCUUCCUAGUAAUGGCGCCAGACGUGCCCUGACUGUGCUAUUAAGGCAUCUGCCUUAUUCAGAUCAAGCGUAGCAGCAUAGCUUUCUCCUGUCUUUGGCGAUUUUGCAUAAUUGCUUAAAUUUCUAAUGCUCUUUCUAGGUACAGAAAUAGGCUCGGAGAGAGUAAGAGCCUAUUUAAUAUACUUUGUUUUCCAAAGCUUUGAAUCCAAAAAGUCGGCUCCCACAUAGAAACAUAUCCAGACUGUUGGCCUCGUGGAGCUCCUGCUCACGUUGGGCCUCAGCUCUUCUGUCAGCUCCUGAGGAGGCAGAAUAACACAGCAGCUCAGAGCAUGAGGCUGGCAGUCAGGCAGACCUGGGUUCGAGUUCUGACCUGCCAGUUCAGAUCCAUGUGAACGUGGAAAAAAAGAAAAACCAUGGCAGAAAGAAGAGGAAGAGAAAGGAAAUUUCACAACUGUGGAAGGUGGCAGAGGCCAGUAUCGGAGAGUGACGAUCAAGCGUAAGGUGCCUCCUGGACUAACGGUAGCUGGAGAAGCGUGUACCAUCUAUGAGGAUGCUGACAAUUCUGACCUGUAGGACAGUCAGGUUACAAAAAGGAAGGUUACCUUGAUUACUGAUAUGGAACUACCUGAGUGUCUGCUGAUGUGGGGCCCAGCUGUCCUGGCAGAGAUUUUUCCAGCAUGGAGAGCCUCGAAACCACAGAUGCAGGCAAGUCUGUGCUGAAGAACCUGACAAGAGGGGACAGCAGAGGCCGCUUUCCAUAGAGCUAUAUAGCUUAGCAUAGAAAGAUAGAUCCAGAGUUGAAAAUUCUGAAUUAGAUCCAGUUGGAAAGUCUAGAUUAUUACCCAGUUUCAUCUCUUCUAAGUUUUCUACAAUGCGUUGAUAAUUGGUGUCUCUGCCUUACUAUUUCUUGAGCUGGGAAGAAGCCCUCUAUUGCAAACUCACCCGUUCCUCUGCUGGACAUCUCUAGAUUUCAGCUAGGCAUUUAGACACGAGCUGCGGACAGUCUCCUGGUUACUCAACCUCGUGGUUGUGGAGUCUCGUCCUUUGGCUCCUACAGCAGGUUGUGUGUAUGUCUGUCCUGCCAGUUACAAUAUGGCUUACUGUAAUGGAGUGUUUACUUGCUUCUCUCCCCCUUUAGACUCUGAGGCCUAGGGGAAAAGGGAUGUGUUUCUCUUUGUUUCUCUAGCCCCUAGCAUGAUUCUGAUCAGAUGUAGGUGCCCAGUGAAUGUUAAUAUCCUAGAGUUAUACUGACCAAGGCUAAUCCUUUAACAUCUGACAAGCCUUCAAAACUCUCAGGACAACUGUGAUUGCAAACAAGUCUCAAGGAAUAUUGAUGCAUCUAUAAACAAGAUUAUUUGUGAAAAUACAGCUUGGUAUAUAUUUUCAGGAAUUCAAUUUUCCUGUCCUUGUAAAUGUUUACGCUUAUUCCAGUGUGUGCACGUCUUGAGGGAGUCAUAAUAGUGUUGGCUGCAAGUGCUGGUUACCUCCUUAA
rnacentral:lncRNA from 1 species